AUUGAACGCUGGCGGCAUGCUUUACACAUGCAAGUCGAACGGUAACAGCACUUCGGUGGCUGACGAGUGGCGAACGGGGGAGUAAUACAUCGGAACGUGCCUAGUAGUGGGGGAUAACUACUCGAAAGAGUAGCUAAUACCGCAUGAGAUCUAAGGAUGAAAGCAGGGGACCUUCGGGCCUUGCGCUACUAGAGCGGCUGAUGGCAGAUUAGGUAGUUGGUGGGAUAAAAGCUUACCAAGCCGACGAUCUGUAGCUGGUCUGAGAGGACGACCAGCCACACUGGGACUGAGACACGGCCCAGACUCCUACGGGAGGCAGCAGUGGGGAAUUUUGGACAAUGGGCGCAAGCCUGAUCCAGCAAUGCCGCGUGCAGGAUGAAGGCCUUCGGGUUGUAAACUGCUUUUGUACGGAACGAAAAGCCCUCUUCUAAUACAGGAGGGUCCUGACGGUACCGUAAGAAUAAGCACCGGCUAACUACGUG
rnacentral:rRNA from 1 species